CCCCUUGUGCGGUGUGCGUUGUGUGUGGCCGCAGAGAAGUGAGGGAAGCGACUGUUUAUUAAAAACACAGGUCCGUGCGAAGACGUUGCAGGUCGAGGUAUACGGACUGACGCCUGCCCGGUGCUGGAAGGUUAAGAGGACUCGUGAGCAUGCCCUUUGUGGUGUGUGAGGCGGGUAAUUGAAGCCCCAGUAAACGGCGGUGGUAACUAUAACCAUCCUAAGGUAGCGAAAUUCCUUGUCGGGUAAGUUCCGACCUGCACGAAUGGCGUAACGACUUCCCUGCUGUCUCAACCAUAGGCCCGGUGAAAUUGCAGUACGAGUAAAGAUGCUCGUUUCGCGCGGCAGGACGAAAAGACCCCGGGACCUUUACUAUAGCUUGGUAUUGGUGUGUGCUGCAGCUUGUGUAGGAUAGGUGGGAGACUGUGAAGCGUUCACGCUAGUGGGUGUGGAGUCAUUGGUGAAAUACCACUCUGGUUGUUGUGUGCAUCUAACUGUGGGCCCUGAUCGGGUUUUGGGACAGUGCCUGGUGGGUAGUUUAACUGGGGCGGUUGCCUCCUAAAUGGUAACGGAGGCGCCCAAAGGUUCCCUCGGCUUGGUUGGUAAUCAGGUUUGUAGAGUGUAAGUGCAGUAAGGGAGCUUGACUGUGACACUGACGGGUGGAGCAGGUGCGAAAGCAGGGACUAGUGAUCCGGCAUCAACGUGUGGGUGUGGUGUCGCUCAACGGAUAAAAGGUACCCCGGGGAUAACAGGCUGAUCUUCCCCAAGAGUUCAUAUCGACGGGAUGGUUUGGCACCUCGAUGUCGGCUCGUCGCAUCCUGGGGCUGGAGUAGGUCCCAAGGGUUGGGCUGUUCGCCCAUUAAAGCGGCACGCGAGCUGGGUUUAGAACGUCGUGAGACAGUUCGGUCUCUAUCCGCCGCGCGCGUGGAAACUUGAACAAGGCUGUCCCUAGUACGAGAGGACCGGGAUGGACGUACCUCUAGUGUGCCAGUUGUCACGCCGGUGGCAUGGCUGGUUGGCUAUGUGCGGGAGGGAUAACCGCUGAAAGCAUCUAAGCGGGAAGCCUGUUGUGAGAUGAGGUUUCUGUUGAGGUUCCCUGAAGAUGAGGGGGUUGAUAGGUCGGAGUUGGAAGCAUCGUAAGGUGUUGUGAGAUGACCGAUACUAAUAUGACCGACACAAACUAUC
rnacentral:rRNA from 1 species